ACACAUGCAGUCGAACGGUAACAGAGAAGAGCUUGCUCUUUUGCUGACGAGUGGCGCACGGGUGCGUAACGCGUAUAUAAUCUACCUUUUACAGGGGGAUAGCCUUUAGAAAUGAAGAAUAAUACCCCAUAGUAAGUUUACUUGGCAUCGAGAAAACUUUAAAGCUUCGGCGGUAAAAGAUGAAUAUGCGUUCUAUUAGCUAGAUGGUGUGGUAACGGCACACCAUGGCGACGAUAGAUAGGGGCCCUGAGAGGGGGAUCCCCCACACUGGUACUGAGACACGGACCAGACUCCUACGGGAGGCAGCAGUGAGGAAUAUUGGACAAUGGGCGAAAGCCUGAUCCAGCCAUGCCGCGUGCAGGAAGACUGCCCUAUGGGUUGUAAACUGCUUUUAUACGGGAAGAACCCCAUCUACGUGUAGAUGGCUGACGGUACCGUAAGAAUAAGGAUCGGCUAACUCCGUGCCAGCAGCCGCGGUAAUACGGAGGAUCCAAGCGUUAUCCGGAAUCAUUGGGUUUAAAGGGUCCGUAGGUGGAUAAUUAAGUCAGGGGUGAAAGUCUGCAGCUCAACUGUAGAAUUGCCUUUGAUACUGGUUAUCUUGAAUUAUUGUGAAGUGGUUAGAAUAUGUAGUGUAGCGGUGAAAUGCAUAGAUAUUACAUAGAAUACCAAUUGCGAAGGCAGAUCACUAACAAUAUAUUGACACUGAUGGACGAAAGCGUGGGGAGCGAACAGGAUUAGAUACCCUGGUAGUCCACGCCGUAAACGAUGGUCACUAGCUGUUCGGACUUCGGUCUGAGUGGCUAAGCGAAAGUGAUAAGUGACCCACCUGGGGAGUACGUUCGCAAGAAUGAAACUCAAAGGAAUUGACG
rnacentral:rRNA from 1 species